rnacentral:lncRNA from 1 species
GAAAUAUAAAAACGCAAAAUCUUAUUUAUUUAUUUAUUACACAUCUUUUUUUCCAAUACAAAAUAGGAGAUACAAUAACAAAAGACUCGACAUUACUGUACAAAACUAGAAGGUAAAAGACGACAUAAAAAAGAAUAAAAAAUACUCAAAACACAAAAAUAAAAAAAAUCUCCUUAGGCCACUUGUGAUCGAGCGUUCCUGACUAGAUGGUCCUAGGGCGUCUAUCAUGCUCAAACCCCGGUAAGUAAAUCCACACCUGUAUGAGAAAAAUUAAAACCAAAUAAGUUAAAGACCUAAAAUGCUAUGUGAGACAAUAACCCUUCCUGUUGGACACAUGCAAGACAUGAUUGAGGCUAUUUUUGCAAAAUAACUUAUUUGGCCAAAAGGUGGCUAGAAGUGCAAAAUUUGGCUAAGACCCCGCAAAGCCAAGAACCUAAGAUUUACUAGGAAGACCGGACCCUAUGUGGGUUGCCUACGUAUCACGCCCUGAAAGACGAGAAUCAGGUAUGCGUAGUUCGAGCAGAUUGGAUACGGGCGAAAAUUAAAAAAAAACUAAUUUAGAGAAAAUAUGUUUUUUAUCUUAUUUUUUUUUUGAAAAAUGAUGAAACAUGUAGACUCUUUUUGAAUUUUCUUCUCCCUUUUUUUUGUAUUUUUNNNNNNNNNNNNNNNNNNNNNNNNUGACAGAAAACAUAACUUGGCCCUACUUGCUUUAUUUUCAUACUUCACCCUCUUUUUUUCUUUUUUCUUUUUCCCUCAACUAUCAUUGGUCCGCCAGAUGACCCUUUUACACUUAAAGAUUGCAACAUAUAGCACAUAGGAUGCAUCAGGAUGGUCUUUUAUUUUAGGGUACACCUGUCCUAGACGGACCCAACCCCUGUGUUGAGUCCCUAAAGUCAAAUGCACAUGAUGCAAACAAACGUGCCUACUAGGGAUUCUACAUGAGGUUAUGUUAUUCUAGGUUUUAAAACCUGGGUUUAUUUAUUCUAAACCUGGCUUACCCGAGCGGAUAGCUCGAGCCGGGGGGAGGGGGGAGGGAGGGGGCAACGUACCGAGAAUAUAGAAGCUUCACUGGCUUUGCAACUUGUCCGAACUUCGUUCUAAAAUUGGGAUAUGACUCUAACAGAAGAGAAGUCACACGGAGUGCACGCUUCCCAGAUGAUUUAGAAGACUCAGAGAGAGGAGGGUUUCGUAACAGUUUAUAUACAGUUCAAACAAUAUCAAAACGGUAAAAGUAAUAUUUAGCACAUUAGUCUCAAACACGUAAAAAUUAGAUAAUAAAUAAAUCCAACUAUAACAGAUAUUCUAAGCUCGAAUUCUGAACCAUGAACCAAAGAUUCUAGGUUCUUGUCCCUACUAGAGUCGCCAGAGCUGUCACACCUCCUUUUUCCUACCCCCGAAGAGGGGUAUAAGGGAGUUUUUCCAAUUUAAGUGACAAUCGAAACACGAUUAUUUUAUUUAUUCAGAGUCGCCACUUGGGAUAAUUUAUGGUGUCCCAAGUCACCGGUUUUAAUCCCGAAUUGAAGAAAGUUGACUCUUAUUUAUGGUCCGCGAACACUGAAAUUCGGGUAAGAAAUUCUGUUAACCCAGGAGAAGGUGUUAGGCAUUCCCGGGUUCCGUGGUUUUAGCACAGUCGCUCAACUAUUAUUAUUGGCCUAAUUAUCUGAGUUUUACACGUUUUAAACCUAUUGUGCAUUUUCUAACUCUUUAGCCGCUUUUAAUAUUUUAGGAAAAUUCAAAGUUAUUUAAAACACAUCGUAAGCCACUCUACAUAAAAUGCACCCACAAUUCACGACACAUUUAAUUUAACCUUGUUGUAAAUUGGAAUCGGGUCACAUGAAAUGCACACCCGAGCCCAUUUAAUCUAAAUUGACAUAGUUCAGUUGAGGAAUAGCAACCCAAUUUCUAUAUUGUGACAAAAUUAUGUUCAGCUAUAACCAAUUCGAGUAGACAUACGAGCAAAUAACUAAGCGAGCAAAUUCGAAACUAUGGAGAAACAAUUACACAAACAACAUAAUCAUAACUAAUUGGUGAGCAUCUGAAAGGUUAGUUAUUUUAUUAGCUAAUUUCGACACUACAAAGCCAUCAUUAAUUGUGAAAUCACAUAUUCAACAGAAAUCUAGCAACAAAGUAGUGACAAAAAUCCAAAGUUAAAGGAAAAUUCAAUGUAAUAAACAGAGUAAUGUCCCAACACGGAAAACUAAUAAACAAAAAUCAUCCAAAUCAUACAAAUUAAAUCAAAUAUGAAACGAUCCAAAAUAUUAGCGGGAAGAACAAUAUCUGAAAAGAAAAUGAACCUUUAUUGCUGCGUGUUUUCCGCCAUGAACAGUGAAGCAAGAUCUCAAGAACAACAAAUCAAAACAAAUGAAUUACUAAUCCCAACCUCGACGAAUCCAGCCCCUGGUAGACGAAACUCAAACGAUAAUAUCUCAAUCGAACUCCACUGCUUGCAAAACCAAAGUUAUGAAAUACUAACUGAAAUAUAAAACAAGAAAAAACUUCUUCUAUUGCUUGGAUUUAACGAUGGUUUCUGGACUUAUUUGGAACAAGGAUGAUGGUUGGCGAUAAUGGAAUUCCAGCCAGAUUUGUCGCCGGACUAUUCAGCAGCGAGGUAGAGUGAAGGGCAAUAAGAAAUAAGGUCAUUUUGGUCAUAGCUAGUCGAAGAUGAACAAUGGUCAGGGGUCCUUGUUCUCUGCCGUUGCUUUAUGUUUAAGGUGAAGAAGAAGGGGUGUUGUAUGUGUAUUCUACGAUGCUUAAGGUCUGCUAGGUUUUAGGUUAGCUCCAUGAGGAAGAUGAUGAGUCUUAACUUUUUAGUUCUUAUCCAAAACGAUUGUCCCUUCUCAUUUUUUUCUAGGGUUUAUUAGAAUGAAAACGGCUGACUCUAGGUUCUUUUUAGUGUUCUAGGGUUUUUGGUUCAAUCUCCAUGAAGAAGAUCAAGAAGCUACGCGUGGGGGGG